GAAAGAUAUGCUUUAAAUAUAAUUUAUUUAGUCCAAUUAGAUGGCUAUUUUGAUGUCCCGUAGACACAACUUGAGUGCUUAUAUGUCACAUAUGGCCUAGUACUGUGAGAAGACUUCAGAAAUGCUCAAGGCCUGUAGGUGAUGGAAUAGUCAAAACAUGCCCCAUCCAGCCAGUCUCCCAAAUUGCUACAUAACCCCUUGAGACCCUGUGAAUCAUAGUUUAUAAGCAACUAUUCAUAGAUAUAGGCAUUUUCCCCAGGGUGUUUUUUAUAUGAGGUUGCUAAAGAUCAACUUUAAUAUGUGUAUAUAUUUUCUUUGCUAAGUAUUAACUCUAACACCUGACUCACGAAAGUGGAGGGAGAGGGGAAGGAAAAAUCCACUAAGUUAGAGAGGCCAGAGAGACCCCUUGCAGAGAGAGGAUGGCAAAGAAAGUCAACCUUUGAAGAAAGGCCUCCCUAAGGAACAAGGACCGUGUGGUCCUGUGAUCCUCUGUAAUCUAAGUGCCAAGACUUAGUGCCAAGAAUAAAUGAUCCUGGUUGAUGAAGAGCAAUCUGCCACUUCUAAGCUUUGAUCAAAGAUCAGAAAACCAUCUCGGUGUUGCUGCAUCUGACAUCUGCUCACAUUUUAACAAUUUAGUGCCUAUAACAGGAAGUACCUAUUUUCACCUUGAAAUUCUUUCAUUCAGUAGAAAUAUUUUUUGUUUUAAAUAAUUUAAAAAUAUAACCAGUGAGCAUCUUUAAAUUUUCAUAAUUGGCUCACAGUAAAAUAGAUUUCUCACCUCUGAUUUAGGUGAAAUAACUUUGAAAUAACUUUGUUUCUGCUUUAUAUUAUUCUACUUUCUCUACCUCAAACAGGAACAAAAAUUCUUUUAAUAAUCAAUUGAGCUCAUCAGUUUCUUUAAUUGAACACUUGCUAGAUUCUGGGGAUACUAAGAUGACUGUGAAAGAGUAUCUUCCCUGGAGGAACUCAAUUUCUAUUUGGGGGUGAUAGUGGGGAGAGGGGAACCCAGAUUUGGAAAGAGACAAUGGUGAUAAGAAUGACAAUAAAAGUAUAUACAAAGGUUAAGAUAAGACAAAAGAUAGAAAGGCCAACCCCGGAGCUUUCCAAAAAGGCUUCCACAGAAGAGAUAAAGUUGUGGCUUGAUUUCCCAGGCCUUGUGAGAGCUUGCCAGUCAGUCAGAGACACUGAAGAUACUCAUGAAGGACAGUGAAGAAACAGAGCUUAGAACCAAACAGUAUGUUUGCAUAAUGGCACAAAGCUCCAUGUGGUUGUGUUAAGCAGUGAAUGUGGGAAGGUAGUAGGAGGUGAGAACCAAGAAACAAGAGAUAGAACAUUCCAUAGAUAAAUAACAGGAGUGACAGGCUCCCAGAUGCAUUGUCAAGAGAACAUAUGAUGGCAAGGAUGGGCUGGAGUGAGAUGAGAACCUAUUUAGAAGUAGUCCAGGUAAGAGAUAUGGAGGUCCCAAAUUAUGGCAAUAACAUAUCAAAGAUGGAUGAUAACUAAUUAUAAAUCAUCUAAAAAUGUGAAGUACCAUGUAAAACCAUACAAAGAUAUUAAUUAUUGAUAUUAAUUUUCUGCAUGACCUUGGAGUCUGUUGUGGCAACCCACCCCUAGUUUAGUAAAUACUUGCUGUGGCCAAGCCAAAUGCACAAUGCCAUCUACAGUAGGCGCGUGCUACCAUCACACGCCUUCUCAUGACUUCCCAGGAUUUACUAGGAAGGCUAUUUGUGGAACAAGCUCAUUUUAGCCUCUUAAGUAUCAUAAAAUAAACUAAGAUUGCCCAUUUUAUUUUAAGUAUCCUGCAGAAGACAAUUAACUUUGUUUCCAGCACAAAAUAUAAUGCCAGUAUAACUUUUGUGAAACGUAAAAUGGUGAAAUUUAAGGAUAUGGCUGAAGAUGCCCAUGGUUUUAUAGGCUUUUCACUUAGAUGAAUGAAUGGAUGACUUUGCCACAGCAUUUUCAGCAUUCCAGGCUUGUGAUAAAAUGGAAUCCAGUUCAAGUUUCUUUUAACCUUCGUUUUUAGGAACCCGUGAUUACAUAUAUAAACAUUUAUCAAUAUACACGUUUGGAGUUGACAGUGAUUUAACAUUUUGACCAAAUACCUGUGCUAAAUUCUUUCAUGAGACAGCUGAGGAAAUCAUUUCUGGAAUAAUUUUUACUGUUCUUCAGUGUUCCUCAGGCAGGAAGCCACAGGAAACAAUGUAUUGUGGUGCAUAUUUCCCUGCAGGAUUUGGUAUGUCAUUCACUGUGGAGAAUUUUGCUUUCCAGCUGCCUAUAGUUCAUAUUUUUGUACUUGCUUUUCCCUCCAGGAUAAUUUGAUGAAGUCAGUUCCUCAGAGAUAGAAAAUAUCUUUCUAUUUUUUUAAGACCAGAUUUGUUUCUUUUCCCAACUGAGAGAUAAACUUGAUUAAAAAGAAAAUAUGUAAGUAGCCAGGAUUAAUUAUUUUGACAUAUGAAAUAACCAUGAUCACAAUAUGAAAUAGUCAUUAGAUAAUUUUAAUAAUCUAGUAGGGUAAGUGCUUUUGGUUGAAUGAAAAUAACGUCUGUCAAAAUUUUGGAUCAGUUUAAAAUGUAGUAAAUUAGAACCUGGAAUAUGGAAAUGAAAACCACCCUUUUUCGAGAGAACUUCACUAUUCUUUUAUUAGGUCUGAUUUCUACUUUAAAGUUUUUCUACCCUCCUUUUCCUUUCACUUCCCUGCGAAACAUUGUCCCACUCAUAGACGAGAAAAUAGCAGAAUAAAAUGUUUUAAAAUCAGAACUAAUAUCCUCACGUUAAGCAACUGUUUUUUUUAAACACCUACACCAGUGGAUUUUCAACCCUGCCUGUAAGAAUCACUGGAGGAACUUUUUAAAAAUGCACAGACCUUCACGCCUGUAAUUCCAGCACUUUGGGAGGCCAAGGCAGGCAGAUCACUUGAGGUCAGGAAUUCGAGACCAGCCUGGCUAACGUUGUGAAACCCUGUUUCUACUAAAAAUACAAAAAGAAUUAGCCGGGCGUGGUGGCACGCGCCUGUAUUCCAGCUACUCGGGAGGCUGAGUGAGGCAGGAGAAUCACUUGAACCGGUGAGGCGGAGGUUGCUGUGAGCCAAGAUCGCGCUAUUGCACUCCAGCUUGGGCAACAAGAACGAAACUCCGUCUCAAAAAAAAAAAAAAAAAAAAAAAAAAGCACAGAUUUCACCUUCUGAAUUACUAAUCCGAUUCAUAUAGGGUGGGACCUAAGUGUUCACAUUUCUCAGAACCUCCCAGGCUGACUUUAAUGUAUAGUAGAGUUGAGACCACUGGCCUCUACUGUCCUUUGCAUAGGUGUCCCUAGGCUCUUUUUCAACCUGCCAAACCGGAUUUCUCUCUCACCCACUUAAAGACUACACUUGGGUAACAGUGACAAUCAAGCUCUGUGGUCUCCAAAGUGAGGGGUCCAAGAUGAUCUAUUAGAGUGUGAGAAAAAUAUGAGAAGUUUAUUUUUUAAUCACAUCCUUUAAUGAUAUAUUUUUAAAAUAUUUUAUGAUGCACAUAAUAUAUUAGUACAAUAGAUUGGGGGAGGGGAGACAGAACAGAAAACACCAUUUUUCCUGUUACAUAGAUCCCCUCAUUCUCUGCUUUCAAUGAGAGCAGUUUCAAUGUUGGCUUUUUGAUGUCUACUGAUUGCUGCAGACUUCUCUAGAGCUAAGUAUGGAGUUUUAUAAGAUGCAUGUCCUCCACUGAACAGCUGUAUUCUAUGACCAACCACAGAACAAAAUCUUUUCUUUUUUUUUUUUUUUUUUUUUUUUUGAGACGAAGUUUUGCUCUUGUUGCCCAGGCUGGAGUACAAUGGCAUGAUCUCGACUCAUCACAACCCUGCCUCCCGGGUUCCAGUGAUUCUCCUGCCUCAGCCUCCCGAGUAGCUCGGAUUACAGGCAUGCGCCACUACACCCAGCUAAUUUUGUAUUUUUAGUAGAGGUUUCUCUAUGUUGGUCAGGCUGGUCUCGAACUCCUGACCUCAGGUAAUCUGCCUGCCUCGUCCUCCAAAGUGUUGGGAUUACAGGCGUGAGCCACCGUGCCCGGCCUAGAACAGUCUUUCUUCCUAGGUCUUUGUCCUUCCCAGGGUUCCUGAUACAGCUUUACCUCCUGAUCCCUUCUCUUAGUAAAAUUUCUUCUCACCCUUCCAAAUUCUUCUAAAACGCACAAGCAUUUUUGGGUACAGUAACAAAAGAGACUUUAAUAUAGAAAUGCCACCAAAAUGUCCCCUGAUGGUAAGAAUUUUUGAGUUAUAAUGACAUUGUGGUCACUUUUUUUUUUUCUAAGAUAGUUUCACUUUUGUCACCCAGCCUGGAGUGCAGUGGCACGACCUUGGCUCACUGUAACCUCUGCCUCCUGGGUUCAAGCGAUUCUGCUGCCUCAGCCUCCCAAGUAACUGGGAUUACAGGCAUGCACCACCACACCCAGAUAAUUUUGUAUUUUUGGUAGAAAUGGGGUUUCACCAUGUUGGCCAGGCUCGUCUCGAGCUCCUGACCUCGUGAUCAGCCCGCCUCAGCCUCCCAAAGUACUGGGAUUACGGGCAUGAGCCACUGUACCCGGCCAUUAACUACAACAAUUAAAAAAAAAAAAACUAGUAUGAGAAGGGGGAAAAUGGUUGUGGUUGAAUGACACGAUUGGCCAGGAUUAGACAAUUGUUGGAUCAGAGUACUGGGUACAUGAAGGUCAUUAUUAUAUUCUGCUUACUUUUUUGUAUGCUCAAUUUUUCAUAAUAA